UGGCUCUUGCAUCGAUGAAGAACGCAGUGAAACGCGAUAUGUAAUGUGAAUUGCAGAAACCAGUGAAUCAUCGAAUCUUUGAACGCACAUUGCGCCUAGGGGUAGUCCUUUAGGCAUGCCUGUUCGAGCGUCGUUUAAACAUGCGUUGGCAAUUCAUGAUUGAUUGCUCAAAUUCAAUGGCAUUUGAUAAACAGUACAAUGUGACGCAUCUGCCAAUUUCUCUUAGUUUGACCUCGAAUCAGGUAAGAGUACCCGCUGA
rnacentral:misc_RNA from 1 species